CACAGUCUGCUAUCAAUGAGAAAGUCAGUUAUGCCACUUUCACCCACACAUAAGAUGUUUUAGAUGAAUCACACUUCGAACAUAGACUAAUAAACAACCCGGGCUUUAUCGUUUUGGGUUUUUUUUUUCUUUUCUCUCUUUCUUCUUCAAACUGAUCUACAAUCACAAGCGAAAGUUUCUUUCAUGUGCCCGAAGUUGGCACCGCUUUUCCGGGUGUCGGACGGUCUUCUCCGCUGAACCAGCGACAAAUACAGCGGUCGAAAUCCAGGUCUAUGGCUGGGCUACAGAUGAACCAAUAGAAAUUCUCUCUUGUUUGUACGUGAGCGCGACCUUGCGCGCUCCCUAAAGCUCCAGCCAGUCAGACGCCAGUGGAGCUGAAGGAGCGCGAGCUGCCCGUUGAACCACUGACGCGAGGAGUUACGUCGCUGACAUGCGGAGGGACAGAGAGGACAUGAUCGGCAGUGUCAACUAAGCACUACGGAUAGUGGACUAGGACUGUCUAUGUCUGGAGAAUACGUUUCUGAAGCCACAGUCUCCCGAUAAGACCGUUCACGGAGUACCAAAUUUGUGCGCCGCAGUUUCGGAUCUUUCUUCAAGAAGCGUCCCAGAAACUUCACUGAGGGGAUGGAUUUGUAGCAAGGAGCAUCACCAGCUGCUGCUGACACUUCUUCACUGAAGUUUGGUGGAGUUAAGAAAAUUCAGGAUUGUCUGUAUAUGGAAUAUGUUGACAUUAGUUAUUGUCUCCCAUGUAGAAUCAUUAUUUUUCUAAUCUAAGUAUAUAAUCCAAUGAGAUUCUGCCCCCCACCCCCUCCCUCAAUCCCUCCUUGGCUUCCUUGAAACUUUGUGUAAAAUAGUAACUAUCAGAGCUGAUUCAGACCUGUUCCAUAUAUCAUUACUGACCAGUGUGAUUGCAUGUGGAAUUGUCAUUCAGCUUCGGAAGAACUGCUCUCCUGUUCAUGUGCUGCUCUCUCUUUUAUGUACAGCAGCUGCACCACAGCAUAUCUGUGCACAGUGUGUAUCAGUGUGGGUUAUUCACAGUGCUGCUAUGCAGACUGACUGGAGCCACGCUCAGACAGCUCCACAGCAACCCCAAUUCUGAGGCAAAUGCCUGGACUGCUCACACAAAAAGAAACCUUUACAGCUAAAGAAAAGCCCUCCACACCACAAAAUCCAGAGGGACAACUUGUGUGGAAUAGCAGAUGUUACACAGCUUUGUGUACUGAUGUGGAUUAUUUAGGAUGCUGCUAUGCAGACAGAGUGGAGCCACAGAAAACCUGCUGGUGAAAUUAAAGUAACGCACAUGACUGGAUGGCUUUUUUCAGUUCAGCUGAACUGCAUGCGUUGCAUUGUUAGCAGACGAGGCUUUGUGUGGUAGUUUUGUUGUUUUGGUUGUUGUUGUGAUUAGAUUCACUGAAGAAAACCCAGAGCUUGUACUAAAAGUUGUGUCUGAAACUCAAAAGUCACCUUUGUCCUUUCACAGUAAUGGCCAUUAUGUAUCCAGAAGGUGAAAGCUUCUAAGACAGACUGUCACUCUUACUUAGUGAAUGAUAUUUCAUAGAAUUGAAGCAUUUUGUUGGACAGUUUUAAAGACUGCUGCUGAUACGCACAAUUCAGUUUCUCUUCCAUUUCAUCAUUUUGUUGUUAAAACUACAUUGUUGUUUUAAUACACUAGUAUUUGCAAAAUGAAGAAUCCUCUUCCUAUGAAUAAUACCUGGAAUAGAGCUACUAACAAAGAUUCAGUACUGAUCUCUGUGCCAGGCACCAGCAAGAGGUUCAAGAGGAAGUCCCGUGAGCCUAAAAGGCUUUUCAUUAGCCCUGAGGCUGACAGAAUGAAAACAUACCCGGUGGACAUCUCAGAUGUAUACACAGUGGACGAUGCUCAUAUGGAGGUGUGUAAUGUUAGCAAGUUGGCUCCACUCCAGAGGCAGCUGAUCAUGUCACAGGAAGUGAUGGCCAGUACUACAGGGAUUCUGUCAAGUCUAAAAGAAGACAGCGUGACUCCGGCCCAGAGUGGUGCCAUAGACAUGAGAAUUGGUAUUAAUGGGCCUGCCAUCACUUCCAAAUUGCCCCAGUUACCCAUCUCUCCAUUCUCAAACCCAGAAAUCUCCCACUGGCCUACCUCCAUAUCUCAGCCACUAUCAAACAGACACAAAAUUAGCCUCCACCCCGCCUUCUCUCUGUCAACAUCAACCAGCAGCAGUCACUCACCCAGCCACCAGGCCUUCUCCUUGGAGGCCUCCAUGUCUAACCAGUCUGCAGCACUGUCUGCCACCAGAGCCUCCCAGUCUUCCCAGUGUCAUGAAGCUGUGGAGCGCCAAGUCCCUUCACCUAAGGAGUCUCCCAGGAAGCGAGUUGGAUUAACUGCUGAUGGACCUGGGCGUCCUCCAGAGGUCAAAGCCAUCCAGCAGACUAGGAGGCUUCUAGCCAAUGCCAGGGAGAGGACCCGUGUUCACACUAUCAGUGCUGCAUUUGAGGCCCUGAGGAAGCAGGUUCCAUGUUACUCGUAUGGACAGAAGCUCUCCAAGCUGGCCAUACUACGUAUUGCCUGCAACUAUAUUCUGUCUCUGGCUCAGUUAGCUGAGCUGGACUACAGUUCCGACCACAGCAGUCUGAGCUUCUCUCAGUGUGUGGAACAAUGUACCAGGACCCUGCAGGCUGAGGGCAGAAGCAAGAAGAGGAAGUCCCAGACGCCAGAUGUUUAGAGUGGAAGGGAAGUGGAGCUGGCGCCAUGAAGGGCAGAGGGCAGUGAGAAGGUUGGACGAAUGCCAGAGGAUGUAUGAUGUUUUCAGACUACAGUUACCAGAAUCUUCUGAUGCACUGCAGCCAUAAAACCAGGCACAGACCCAACUCAUCUCUUCUAUUGUGUUGCUCAAAUAAAGAUAGAGACUAAGAUCUAUUUGUUUUGAAGACAAUAAUAUGCACUACAAUAAAAAAUAGAAAAGGGAAAAGAACCAUGCCAUGUAACCCAAAUGCAAUGCAGAUUAGCCAGAAAAUAAGACUAAUAGUGUGUUCUGCUUCUACCUGUACCAUAUACCUAGAAUGACUGGCGUCUGGUGCUGAUGAUGAUUAUGUUGACAGGGGUGAUGUGAUAAUGAUGUUAGGACUAUUUUCAUGACUAUUUUUUAAAAUGAUUUUUUUCUUCUAAUUGGGCAGGAUGGAGAGCAUGUCAGACCCUUUGGACAUAAUCUCUAACCUGAGUUAUAAUACCUAAUUGUUUUCCCCCUAAUAAAUGUGGAGUUGACAUCAACUAUA